GGGGGGUUAGCUCAGCUGAUAGAGCAUCUGAUUUGCAUUCAGAGGGUCAGGGGUUUGAGUCCCCUACUCUCCACCA
rnacentral:tRNA from 1 species